AGAGAAGCAGAACAAAAGGAUUUUCAUCAAUAAUCGAUGACUGUGUAUAAGAAGUCCACAUGUCCUGCUCACUUCAUCACACUACAGCACUGGUGAACGAUAUUCUAAGCUUUUCUUUAUACUUUUACAGCAAGCACUUUUUCAGUACACCAGAAAGUCAUGCUUUAAUCUGAGGUUUGUCAGAUUUUAUCUGAUUUUGCCGCAACGUUUGCCUUCAAGCAUGCAAUUACAGUAUUUUUUGUUUAAAAAAAACUUGACAAUAUUAAGAAAAUAAGAACAUUUAACUAUACGUAGAAUUAUUAUUUUUCUCUCUGGUAAAUCUACAACCUUAAGGCGUCCCUUUAAAUAUAAAACCCAAGACAGAAUGUUUUUUGAACACUUUGUAAAAAGCUAAGCUAAGGAACAAACUCCAAAUUACUUUCUUCUUAAUAACAAACUUGUCAGGAGUUUAACAUCUACAUCUUUUACUU